CCGCCGUCGACAGACGGUGUGUAACCUACCGC
rnacentral:sRNA from 1 species